CAAUAUUUAUUUCUUCGUUUAGCCCAAAUUCAGCUUGGAAGCAGCUGAUGUGAUUUCCACUCCUAAGCAGCUGCCCCGCGCCCAGCAGUAAUUUACAGCAGCCGCUUCUCUAACGAGGAGGAAGUUGCAAUUUGUAGAGCAAUAAAUACCGAGGCGAUGGGAGGAGUCCCCAGAAGAAAACUCGUCCUCCUUCUCCGAUUAAAACUCCACCUUGAUAUCACCGCGGACCAUGGGAAGGUCUGAAGGAAAACGACGGUCCCGAUAUCCUUCUAACUGAGAAGUGCUAUACAGUCUUCUCUAGGCGAGAUGUCAGACUAGAAUGGUCAGGACUCGAGGGAACACAUGUACUGCUGCCGGCUUCUCUCCACACCCACUCUGUGUGAUGACUACAGAAUCAUUUUAAUCAAGAAUGAAGACUACAUAAUUCAAGCUACAGGGUCAAAAGUCUGAUGUCUACAGGGAAAGUGCAUUGGUUUAACUUCAGUCAGAUUUUAAAUCUUGGCUUUAAGGCUUGGCUAAAUAAUUAGGUCAAACCACUGCAACAUUCCCACGUAGCUAAGGCCUUGAAAAAGGAUUUUAAAGAUAAAUAUCUCAGUUAAAUACUUAAGCUGCAGUCUGAAACCUAUUGAAGUCAAUGAGACAGGAGAGCAAGCUGCCAACAAGAUACACUCUGAAGUGUCUUUCUGAAUCAGUGGCUUCAUUCUGCUCUAAGGGACAAACCUCCAUUUCAGCAAAAGUCAUCUUAGGAUCAUGGCUUUUUCUUAGAUCUCUGCCAGCCACGAAACCUUUGAGAGAGAGGACAGUGCUAUAAAGGCCUGGCUGCAGGAGAGUGCUGCAGGAAGCUGGAGAGAGCAGAAUCUCAGCUAUACAUUCCAUUACAAAGAGACCACGGUGAAACACGAGAGGACUGUGGACUGUUCCAGCUGAGAAUAAAGAAAUAAAAAACAGU